AUUGAACGCUGGCGGCAUGCCUUACACAUGCAAGUCGAACGGCAGCACGGGAGCAAUCCUGGUGGCGAGUGGCGAACGGGUGAGUAAUACAUCGGAACGUGCCCAAUCGUGGGGGAUAACGCAGCGAAAGCUGUGCUAAUACCGCAUACGAUCUACGGAUGAAAGCAGGGGAUCGCAAGACCUUGCGCGAAUGGAGCGGCCGAUGGCAGAUUAGGUAGUUGGUGAGGUAAAGGCUCACCAAGCCGUCGAUCUGUAGCUGGUCUGAGAGGACGACCAGCCACACUGGGACUGAGACACGGCCCAGACUCCUACGGGAGGCAGCAGUGGGGAAUUUUGGACAAUGGGCGAAAGCCUGAUCCAGCCAUGCCGCGUGCAGGAUGAAGCCCUUCGGGUUGUAAACUGCUUUUGUACGGAACGAAACGGCCUUUUCUAAUAAAGAGGGCUAAUGACGGUACCGUAAGAAUAAGCACCGGCUAACUACGUGCCAUCAGCCGCGGUAUACUUAGGGUGC
rnacentral:rRNA from 1 species